AGUGAACGCUGGCGGUAGGCCUAACACAUGCAAGUCGAACGGCAGCACAGUAAGCGCUUGCUCUUACGGUUGGCGAGUGGCGGACGGGUAAGGCAUACAUCGGAAUCUACUUUUUCGUGGGGGAUAACGUAGGAACACUUACGCUAAUACCGCAUACGUCCUACGGCUGAAAUCAGGGGAUCUUCGGACCUUGCGCGAUUGAUUGAGCCGACGUCGGAUUAGCUAGUUGGCGGGGUAAAGGCACACCAAGGCAACGAUCCGUAGCUUGUCUGAGAGGAUGAUCAGCCACACUGGAACUGAGACACGGUCCAGACUCCUACGGGAGGCAGCAGUAGGGAAUAUUGCACAAUGGGCGAAAGCCUGACCCAGCCAUACCGCGUGGGUGAAGAAGGCCUUCGGGUUGUAAAGCCCUGUUGUUGGGAAAGAAAAGAAGUAGGUGAAUAUCCGGAUGUUCUGACGGUACCCAAAGAAUAAGCACCGGCUAACUUCGUG
rnacentral:rRNA from 1 species